UCUGAAAAUGGCAAACUUAGCGAAAGCUAAGGACGCAAAGCCAUAGAUCGUACAGGGAAGGCUGACGACAGCUAGGCUACCAAAA
rnacentral:ncRNA from 1 species